rnacentral:tRNA from 1 species
GGGACAUAGCUCAGUUGAUAAAGUACUUGCCUUGGAAACAAGAGGGCCUGAGUUCAAUUCCCAGAACCCA